rnacentral:rRNA from 1 species
UACGGAGGGUGCAAGCGUUAAUCGGAAUUACUGGGCGUAAAGCGUGCGCAGGCGGCGGCUCAAGUCAGGUGUGAAAUCCCCGGGCUUAACCUGGGAAUUGCGCUUGAAACUAGGUUGCUAGAGUGUGGCAGAGGGGGGUGGAAUUCCACGUGUAGCAGUGAAAUGCGUAGAGAUGUGGAGGAACACCGAUGGCGAAGGCAGCCCCCUGGGUCAACACUGACGCUCAUGCACGAAAGCGUGGGGAGCAAACAGG